ensembl:snoRNA SNORA73 Small nucleolar RNA SNORA73 family
CCAAAAUGAUUUCCCUGCACGUAAUGCUGGAUUUCUUUGUUCAGUGCUUGGCAUGGGAGAUAUUUUCAAAUAGUUCUUAGCUCCGUGAUAUACAGUCCCUUUCAACACUGUUGGAGAUCACUGCAGGCCUUGAGUCUGUGCAUAACCUAAGAGCUUCUCAGAGUCCUUUGGACAAUGACUGAGGACACAAACCAUGAAGGAAACAGUA